rnacentral:rRNA from 1 species
AUUGAACGCUGGCGGCAGGCCUAACACAUGCAAGUCGAGCGAGCGGCGGGGGGGUGAGUAAUUCCUGGGAAUUUCCCAGUCGGGGGGGAUAACAGUUGACAACGACUGAUAAUCCCGAAUACGAUUUGAUUGCCAAGGGGGGAUUAGCUAGGUGGUGGGGUAAUGGCUCACCAAGGCGACGAUCCCUAGCUGGUCUGAGAGGAUGACCAGCCACACUGGAACUGAGACACGGUCCAGACUCCUACGGGAGGCAGCAGUGGGGAAUAUUGCACAAUGGGGGAAACCCUGAUGCAGCCAUGCCGCGUGUGUGAAGAAGGCCUUCGGGUUGUAAAGCACUUUCAGCGAGGAGGCGUUACUCGCAGAAGAAGCACCGGCUAACUCCGUGCCAGCAGCCGCGGUAAUUC